UACGUAGGGCGCAAGCGUUGUCCGGAAUUAUUGGGCGUAAAGAGCUCGUAGGCGGUCUGUCGCGUCGGCUGUGAAAUCCCGGAGCUCAACUCCGGGUCUGCAGUCGAUACGGGCUAGCUAGAGUGUGGUAGGGGAGAUCGGAAUUCCUGGUGUAGCGGUGAAAUGCGCAGAUAUCAGGAGGAACACCGGUGGCGAAGGCGGAUCUCUGGGCCAUUACUGACGCUGAGGAGCGAAAGCGUGGGGAGCGAACAGG
rnacentral:rRNA from 1 species